rnacentral:rRNA from 1 species
GACGUAGGGCGCGAGCGUUGUCCGGAUUUAUUGGGCGUAAAGAGCUCGUAGGCGGUCUGUCGCGUCGAUCGUGAAAACUUGGGGCUUAACCCUGAGCUUGCGGUCGAUACGGGCAUGACUGGAGUUCGGCAGGGGAGACUGGAAUUCCUGGUGUAGCGGUGAAAUGCGCAGAUAUCAGGAGGAACACCGGUGGCGAAGGCGGGUCUCUGGGCCGAUACUGACGCUGAGGAGCGAAAGCGUGGGGAGCAAACAGG